GGCGUGGUAGCAAAGUGGUUACUGCGAUUGACUCGAAUUCUUCUUCUACAAGAAGGAAGCCCGAAUAUCAAUUCCCUUCGGGGGCGUAGGUUCGAAUCCUGCCCACGUCG